rnacentral:rRNA from 1 species
GACGAACGCUGGCGGCGCGCUUAACACAUGCAAGUCGAACGGAGAGGCCUGCUUUCCCUUGUGGAUUGCGGGUACUCGAGUGGCGAACGGGUGAGUAACACGUGAGUGAUCUGCCCCCAACUUGGGUAUAAGCCUGGGAAACUGGGUCUAAUUCCCGAUAGGACUGCAGGGUGGUGCCUGUGGUGGAAAACGAUUUUCUAGUGGUUGGGGAUGAGCUCGCGGCCUAUCAGCUUGUUGGUGGGGUAAUGGCCUACCAAGGCGGCGACGGGUAGCCGGCCUGAGAGGGUGGACGGCCACAUUGGGACUGAGAUACGGCCCAGACUCCUACGGGAGGCAGCAGUGGGGAAUAGUGCACAAUGGGCGGAAGCCUGAUGCAGCGACGCCGCGUGGGGGAUGACGGCCUUCGGGUGGUAAACUCCUUUCGACCGCGAGGAAGCCACCUGGUUGGAAGGGUGGUGACGGUAGUGGUAGAAGAAGCACCGGCUAACUACGUG